ensembl:lncRNA
AUCGGCCUGUCAAGAUCAACUUGUCUCAAAACUUUACAUAAAGUCCACAUUUUAUAAGGAAACAUGGUUUAAAAUUGUGGGGAAAAAAGCCAAAACAUGUUGUAAUAAUAACUCUACUUUCCACCAGCGCAUAAUGUAAAUGUUCAUCAUAUGAACUCAGCCAUUCCCUUUGUGUCAAGAAUUAACAAGUUAACACAUUACCUGACUUUACUAUGGUCCAACUUCAGAGACCACCCUCAGUGUGGUCACCAUAAUCAGGAUAGUUGUGGCAGUGUGGAAAGCUCUUAGGCUCAAGUGUUGAGAGUGGCAACAUUAAUCAACCAAUGUGACAAUACACUGGCUUAGCACAACAGUUCAUAUGGAUGGCGCCAUGCAGGAAGCUCAGGUUUCUUAACAAAGGUCCAGACAGUGCAGUGUAACAGGCGGGUCUUUGACUAGAGGGCAUUUUAAUUCUCACGGGUAGUAAAUUAUCUUUUUUCUUUAUUUUUCAGCACUAAAAGCAUUCCCUGUGUCUCUGAGGACAAAUCUUUGCUGUCUUUAUGAUGUUUUUCUUUUUUUAAUUUUUUUUUUAUCUGUGUCAGUUUUCUUUGGUGCCUUGAUUUCCUAAAGAGGAACUUCAGGUAGGCCUAUUAGUAUUUCCCAUAAUUGUAAUGUCCAGUAUCGAUUCUGCAAAGUUUGAUUUUCUUCUCAUCAUUUUAAGGGUUAAAGUUGCAGUUUUCACAAUAGCUUGGUUGCUUAUCAGUGCUCUUUGGUGAGAACAGGUGUCACAUUUCUAAAGAUGUGGACUUCUGAUCUGAACUGUGAUGGAUCACCUUCACAUUUUGUUUGACCUCUUUAAGCUGCCUCUGCCCUCGCUGUAGCUAACGAAGAGGCGUGAAGCCAAAGGCUCAGUGCCGCACGUGGCCCCAAUUGAUCUCCACUGAACAGGUUUGACCAAAGACUUGUUGGGAUACACAGGAAGGGAACGUUAUCACAGGUAUGCUAUUGCUAUACUGCACAAAUGUUCACUGAAACAAGAAUCAAUGAACGAAAUAAGUGUAAAAAAUCCCUGAGAUACAACCGUGGAUAUAAGAAGGUACCAGCAACAGAGCUACUACAGAAAAUCUGAGAAGAAUCUUCACUUUUAAAAUGUUGCACCCAUGAAAGAAGUUGAGUUCAAUAAAAUGCCAAAUACGUUGAAAUCUUAGC